rnacentral:rRNA from 1 species
UACGUAGGGUGCGAGCGUUGUCCGGAAUUAUUGGGCGUAAAGGGCUCGUAGGCGGUUUGUCGUCGUCUGCUGUGAAAACCGGAGGCUCAACCCUCCGGCCUGCAGUGGGUACGGGCAAACUAGAGUGCGGUAGGGGAGAUUGGAAUUCCGUGGUGUAGCGGUGGAAUGCGCAGAUAUCAGGAGGAACACCGAUGGCGAAGGC